rnacentral:lncRNA from 1 species
AUGAUUCUUACUCUGAAUAAAUUUUCAAAUUUUUAUUUCCAGAAUCCAGGGCAAGUGUUUGUUUCUGAUGAGAAUACCUUCGAAAUUAUCAAUGGACCUUUUCUGUCUCCUGUGAUACUUUCAGAAAACCUAAAGGCAAAGAAGGUUUCCUUCUGCUCUUGUGUGCUGAGGUUUCUUCAGCCAUGUCUGAACUCAGAAAUUGCCACUUCAUAUUUUACGGCUUAGCGCGGGAGCCCAGUCCAAGUCAGAGGCCUUCUGCAAAGUUUUGUUCAACACUCUAAUGCAGGUGAGUAAUUACAUGCUCAUUGCACAGAAUCUAGACCAUAUAAUGGAUAGUGUAAACCAGAAACAACCACCUUUCCCUUGCUUUGGCAGCCCCGCUCCCUGAUUCCACAUGUUGCUUCAUGUGGCCUCUGUGGCUAGUUUGGCGGAGGCUAUUCUUCCAUCCUGGGCUUUUUGUGGACAUCCCAAGUUACCGUCACAGCCCAGCAAAUUCCAGAUCUGCCCACCCUCUAUGUAAAAGGCAGAAUGCCAGCAAGUACAGGACUACCAACUGUUGGUUACUGGUGAGAGGAG